AACGAACGCUGGCGGCAUGCCUAACACAUGCAAGUCGAACGAAGGCUUCGGCCUUAGUGGCGCACGGGUGCGUAACGCGUGGGAAUCUGCCCUUGGGUUCGGAAUAACAGUGGGAAACCGCUGCUAAUACCGGAUGAUGACGUAAGUCCAAAGAUUUAUCGCCCAAGGAUGAGCCCGCGUAGGAUUAGCUAGUUGGUGGGGUAAUGGCCCACCAAGGCGACGAUCCUUAGCUGGUCUGAGAGGAUGAUCAGCCACACUGGGACUGAGACACGGCCCAGACUCCUACGGGAGGCAGCAGUGGGGAAUAUUGGACAAUGGGCGAAAGCCUGAUCCAGCAAUGCCGCGUGAGUGAUGAAGGCCUUAGGGUUGUAAAGCUCUUUUACCCGGGAUGAUAAUGACAGUACCGGGAGAAUAAGCUCCGGCUAACUCCGUGCCAGCCGCCGCCGUAACAC
rnacentral:rRNA from 1 species